rnacentral:rRNA from 1 species
GACGAACGCUGGCGGCGUGCCUAAUACAUGCAAGUCGAACGCAGUGGGGACGGGUGAGUAACACGUGGGUAACCUCCCAUCAGAGGGGAUAACACUUGGAAACAGGUGCUAAACCGAUACUGAUGGAUGGACCCGCUGUGCAUUAGCUAGUUGGUGAGGAAACGGCCCACCAAGGCCACGAUGCAUAGCCGACCUGAAGGGGUGAUCGGCCACACGGGGAUGUGGACACGGCCCAGACUCCUACGGGGGGCAGCGGUAGGGAAUCUUCGGCAAUGGACGAAAGUCUGACCGAGCAAGGCCGCGUGAGUGAAGAGGGUUUGCGGAUCGUAAAACUCUGUUGUUAGAGAAGCGGUAUCGAACCAGAAAGCCACGGCUAACUACGGGCCAGCCGCCGCGGUAUUC